CCAACUGGGCAGAGGGAUCCUCCUCCUGGCAUCACAGGUCAUUUUUCAACUGUGCAAGGCACUGCACAGAAUGUGGUUCACUGAGGUAACGAGAUGACAGCAAUCACAAAGGAGAAAGCCUGAAGAGGCAACAGUGUGAGAAGCCAACAGUUUGAGCCAAUUUGAGGAUUAUCAGUCUCUGUGAUGAGGCUAAGAUGUAUGAAACAGAGGGCUCCUACGUCACGCUGUCAUAUGGGCUCCUGCUGUCCUACCAGCUCAGGAGCAACUGGGGGAGCAUUAAGGCCCUUGUCCUAAUCCCACUGAACUCUGUUGACUCCACUGGGGAGAUAGGGUCGUGCCCUGUGUGGGGGACACAUGUUCUGUUGGCUGCUGCUGCACCAAGAGGCUUAUUUGUGAAGUUUCAUAAGAGCCUUAAGGUCUGCUGUGGUCUCUCAUCACCAGAAAAGGGCUAACAUGAGCAAAGGAAAUGCUGAAAACAA